AGAAAACUUUGCAAUGUGCGAAAGCACGACAAGGUUAAUCCGAGUGGUUUCUGCUAAAGAAACCUUUUGUUAGUCCUAGAAACACUAGUGAAUAAGGGGUGGGCAAGUUCUGGUGUCAGCCGCCGCGGUAAAACCAGCACCUCAAGUGGUCAGGAUGAUUAUUGGGCCUAAAGCAUCCGUAGCUCGUUUUGUAAGUUUUCGGUUAAAUCCAUGCGCUUAACGUAUGGGCUGCCGGGAAUACUGCAUAACUAGGAAGUGGGAGAGGUAGACGGUACUCGGUAGGAAGGGGUAAAAUCCUUUGAUCUAUUGAUGACCACCUGUGGCGAAGGCGGUCUACCAGAACACGUUCGACGGUGAGGGAUGAAAGCUGGGGGAGCAAGCCGGAUUAGAUACCCGGGUAGUCCCAGCUGUAAACUAUGCAAACUCAGUGAUGCAUUGGCUUGUGGCCAAUGCAGUGCUGCAGGGAAGCCGUUAAGUUUGCCGCCUGGGGAGUACGUACGCAAGUAUGAAACUUAAAGGAAUUGGCGGGGGAGCACCACAAGGGGUGAAGCCUGCGGUUCAAUUGGAGUCAACGCCAGAAAUCUUACCCGGAGAGACAGCAGAAUGAAGGUCAAGCUGAAGACUUUACCAGCCAAGCUGAGAGGUGGUGCAUGGCCGUCGCCAGCUCGUGCCGUGAGAUGUCCUGUUAAGUCAGGUAACGAGCGAGAUCCCUGCCUCUAGUUGCCACCAUUACUCUCAGGAGUAGUGGGGCGAAUUAAUUAGCGGGACCGCCGCAGUUAAUGCGGGGGAAGGAGGGGGCCACGGCAGGUCAGUAUGCCCCGAAACUCUGGGGCCACACGCGGGCUGCAAUGGUAGUGACAAUUGGUUCCGAAUUCCGAAAGGAGGAGGUAAUCCUCAAACGCUACCACAGUUUUGACUGAGGGCUGCAACUCGCCCUCACGAAUAUGGAAUCCCUAGUAACUGCGUGUCAUUAUCGCGCGGUGAAUACGUCCCUGCUCC
rnacentral:rRNA from 1 species